rnacentral:ncRNA from 1 species
UCGUCACAACGGCUUCCUGGCGUGGCGAUGUCAUAUGAAUGGAGCA